GACGAACGCUGGCGGCGUGCCUAAUACAUGCAAGUCGAGCGAGACUCUUCGGAGUCUAGCGGCGGACGGGUGAGUAACACGUGGGCAACCUGCCUGUAAGACUGGGAUAACACCGGGAAACCGGUGCUAAUACCGGAUAAUCCUUUUCCUCUCAUGAGGAAAAGCUGAAAGUCGGUUUCGGCUGACACUUACAGAUGGGCCCGCGGCGCAUUAGCUAGUUGGUGAGGUAACGGCUCACCAAGGCGACGAUGCGUAGCCGACCUGAGAGGGUGAUCGGCCACACUGGGACUGAGACACGGCCCAGACUCCUACGGGAGGCAGCAGUAGGGAAUCUUCCACAAUGGACGAAAGUCUGAUGGAGCAACGCCGCGUGAGCGAUGAAGGCCUUCGGGUCGUAAAGCUCUGUUGUUAGGGAAGAACAAGUACCGGAGUAACUGCCGGUACCUUGACGGUACCUAACCAGAAAGCCACGGCUAACUCUGUGCCAGCCGCCGCAGUAAAAC
rnacentral:rRNA from 1 species